GGAGCAGCAGCAGCAGCAGCAGCAGCAGCAACAGCAGCAGCAGUAGCAAACCCCCUGGCUUCCCUGUCUAUGAAAAGAAGGAGGAUCACCCUACUCUUCUCCUGGACUCACUCUGAAUGGAGUAACCAUCUAUCAAGAUGUAGACAACACUCCAUAGCUGCUCUACGACUUUCCCUGGUCACUUCUUUCAAAGGUGACAUUUCUGGUGGGCGUCUGAAGGGGCAAGGCAUCUAUAAACUCAGGAGUCCAAAGAAUCCUGGACCCAACAACCUCAGCCUCACCAAUGCCAUCCAGAGCUCCCUGAGGCUUCUCCACACCCUCAGGCAUCUCUCAGCCCCCACAUCCAGGUCUGGUAUUGAACUCACAGUGGUAUUUAACUCUCUGAUUGAGGUACAGCUCUGAAUGCCAACAAUGCCCCACUCACCAACAAAAGGAAAAACCAUGGUACCUUAGAGAUACAACUGUUAGCCUCUGUCCUCCUUCCACAUUCACUAAGACAUGACAGUGAGGAUUGCUGCACUGAAGAAUGGCUCCAGACACUGAUUAUGGUUCACUACAAACCCCGCAUGCCAGACUUGUGUACAGCCACAAGCAGGGGGUGUCUAACAUAGAAGGGCUGGCCCAGGUUUCUUCUGCAUUCUUAAGGCUGCAGACAAAUGGUACUCACAGUGAUUUGAGACCUGCUUGCACAGGGUUACCAGUUCUCAACCCUGGAAAUGUGGGGCCAGGGCCAAGAAGGGGCUUAUGAUUGACAUUCAUGUAUUUCUCUCCUGCUUCUGGCACAGUUUUCUGGACUGUAAAAUCACAUUGUCCUUCCUGUCUGUCCAGGGGAAGUAGUUGGAAAUCCAGCCAGAAGGAUUGUGUUGUCAGCAACACAGAAGCUGCUGUUCUACAGGGGCCAUACCUGGCGCUCCCGUUUCCUGUUGCAACUGCCCUGCUUUGCACUACCCAUUGGUUUCACCUCAGCUUGGAGCCUGUGCUGCAGUGGCUACAAAAGCUGGAGGAGGCAGAAAGCAGGUAUUAGAUCCACCUGGGACUGCUCACCCAGCUGAUGGCUGCACACACCCUCUCUAGGGUCUGAGGAUAUAUCAUAUCAACUCCUGGAGACCACUCCUGGAGUUGUCUGACUGUGUUGAAAUGGGAAUCUGUUGAAAAUCAUCAUUGCUGGUGGUCAUCGGUCCUAUUCCUCCUUUUAUGGAGAAGAAGAGCGAUCAGGAAUCCUAUAUCAGUGACCUGCUGGAGCUAAACCUGGACCUGGAAGCAAGCAGCAGGAACUCCCUGGGUAAUGAGGACAAUAGGAGCAGCACACAGCAUCUCCACUGCCUCUCAUUCUGCUCCAAAAGCCAUGGCAGCUCCCACACAGCAGGCAUCAAGCCUAACUCCCAGCAGGGAUAAUGUGAUAUAUCUGUGGAUGAGCCCACAGGGACCUCAAGGUUCUAUGGAAGGACAUUUAGUGGUUCCUUGAGCAGCUGCAGCAGCCAGGACACAUGGAACUACAGUGGAGCAGCCACCCAGAGACCUUCGCAGAACUGUGGGUCAUGCUAAUCAGAAUCAGGGUCCAGAGGUCACAUCCCAGGUUGGGGAGGUAGAGGACAACCACAUAGGUGACCAGUAUGUCUGCCUAGUCAUUCAGACAGCUCAUGACUAGCUCCCACAGCGACUUCUGAGGCUGCACACUGGUGGAGUUGCUGGUUUUCAAGAAGUUAACUCCUCUCCAUGGAAUGAAGUUUCUAAGCUUCCUCUCCCUGUACUGGCCAGGUGAAGACCCACUCCUGCAGGACAUUGUGGUGUAGCAAAGAUCUGUACAGCCAUCCCGUCUAUGCCAGCCAGCCCUGAAGGUGGCUUGCUAGCAUUCCAGCACCACCAGCCUUUGUCCAUGUCUGGGCAAGGCAGUUCUUGGCUCUCAACCCAUCUUCCCACCAUAUCAUUCUGUUUUGUCUGCCCACUGGUAGGGGAUGGGGAACCAGCUCUGACACUAGUCUGGGCAUGGGGAAGGUCCAAUUCUCCUGUCCCUGGCUCUCAGCUCCUGGGAUUCUCAGGAGCAAAAGUAUCUGAGAGAAACAAGAGUCAAUGUUAUCCCUGAA